GGGGGGGGGGGCGUACGCCCUCUACACCCCCCUCUGGAUCCGCCACUGUCAGCAAACAGUCUUGUAUUUAAUUCUGAAUAGAACAAAAUGUAAAAUAAGUGAAUAAGUUAUAGAUUAAAUAAUAAAUAAAUAAUUAAAUAUUCUUUAUUUAGUUUUUUCUUUAUUCUCACUUCUUCCAGAGACAUGUACGAAUGUACAUGUAUGUCUCUGAUUCUUCAUGGUCUUAUAUUAAGGAUUUGUAGAGUAUACAAAUCCUUGAUUAUAACAAAGGCAUAUAAUACUCAGUGUACCACUUCUGAACUUUUUUGUAAUUAUUUUCUCUACUUAAAUCCCCAUUCUUGAUUCCAGACCGGGUUCCGGACUAACUCUCAUAUACGUAAAUGAUCGUAAAUGUACGAAAGCUUGACACGUCGAAUACGAAAACCCGGAAAUAUUUUCUCCGUUGCCGUUUUUUAUACUAUGACGCAAAAUCCAUGGACGCUCGUCUGCUGUUGAAUUCAUGUUUUACAGUUUAACAAGGAUUUGUAUAGUGUCACUGUACAAAUCCUUGAGUUUAAAGAAUGGAAAGAUAUAUUAUAGUCAGAUAGAUAAUACAAAGAACUCUAGUUUUUCAAAACCGAUGGGUCAAAAAGUUAUUAGUAUGAACAGAUAAAUUGAAAUGGGUUGCUUGUCGAUUAACUGGAAGAAACCGGGGAACGAAAGAAAUUUGUGUUUCUCUUAACGGAUUACGUACCCAAUAUUUUGUACUUGGAAAGCGCAACGAAAGCUGACUCAAAAUCAUGCAUGAUGAUGCUGUUUGGGCCCCCUGGUUGUACAUAGGAAGUGGACUCCUCGAGAAGAUGAAAGGUCUGCUUUACAUCAUUUUCAAUGAAAGUACAAGUACUUUGAGAAGUAGGAGAAGCUAAGCAACAGAACAGAAUUCAUUUGGGUCAUUGAUGUCUAGAUUAUAUAGUGGAUUCAUAGAUUGUCAUAUUGAUUUAUGUGCAUAUGAGCACAGAGGAGCAGUAGUCAAUGAAUAAUUUUGUGAUGAGAGCUUGUUACCAAAUGAAAGGAAAGUACAGUAUUGACAAUGAUUGAUAUAACUGGUGAACAUGUAUGUCAUGUAGGUGUGAAUGUCCUGCAAAAAAGAACUGAUAUCAAAGUAAGUUCAUCUGUAGAAUUGCAGUUAAUUUAAAUAAUUUGAUGUUAUCUACCUAAAACUGUUUCAAGUAUAACUGUACCUGUACACUGUUGCUUAUUUUUCUCACUUUCCCAUGUAAUGUAUGCAUCAAGGCAUCAUUACUUUGGCCCUUCUACUGCUCCAUUACACACACACUUGAGAUGUCAGAAGUUCAAACUAUCAUAGCAUUUACAUUUCAAACUUACACAGCUACAAU